UACGAAGGGGGCUAGCGUUGCUCGGAAUCACUGGGCGUAAGGGCGCGUAGGCGGCGUUUUAAGUCGGGGGUGAAAGCCUGUGGCUCAACCACAGAAUGGCCUUCGAUACUGGGACGCUUGAGUAUGGUAGAGGUUGGUGGAACUGCGAGUGUAGAGGUGAAAUUCGUAGAUAUUCGCAAGAACACCGGUGGCGAAGGCGGCCAACUGGACCAUUACUGACGCUGAGGCGCGAAAGCG
rnacentral:rRNA from 1 species